CUGUGAAGAUGUUAAAUAUUCGAAGUAGAGGAAACCCCGCCAUGGCGUAAGGAUACAGUUUCUUCCAGAUACAGUGAGUGACAGGCGGGAGGGAGAUCACUUCAUCUGUUGAAGGCGGCGGAAGAACGUGGAUGUGGAGCGAAAUAAGCGGGUGGACUGAAAAAGAACACAGUGACUGAAGAGGCAGAAAAGGCUCUCUCCAAAUGGUUCACUGGGGCAAGAGACGGGUGGAAAGAGGGCCAUUAGAGCACAGCAGGAGAGAAGACCAUCUCCAGGAGUGGAUUCCUGAGAUUUACUGAACAAGCAGCUGCAGGUUCUUCUUCCUCAACCUGCAAAUAUUCUGUGCAGCACUAUUCUGAGCACUGCUUGAUGGUGGCACAAUAAGGAAUUGGCGUGACGAGUGUUUUGUGCAGGUUGGCCAGACACCUGGUUCCGUGAAUUACAAUGCAGACUGAUAAUAUACACAAGCGUAUACAGAACUGUGUAUCUCUGCCAAACAGGAAUAUAAAUAUUAGCGAGUUCAAAUGCAUACAGACACUCAGCAACCACUGAAGGUACAGUUUCUCUGCUGUGCUGAAUGACCUGUCAAACACAAGAUCGGAGAUGGUACGCAGCUCCCAGAGGGUCUUCAUUCACCAGAGCCUCAGUCACAUACACUCUCUCACACACAUGUACACACACACACACACACUCUCCAGCACAUAUAAGCACACACACACAAGUAUGAAAAAUGUGGAGGUGAGAUCACAAAGCAUGACUUAUCCCAGUGAACAAAUUAGAUUCUCUCAUAAUCCAGUUUAGUCACCGUCAGUUCCCACCCACUUGUUAGCACUCUCCUAUCAAACAACAGCCACCAGGGGAGCCUGAAGACCAGCUCCUGCGUCCUCCAUGGCACAUGAAGCCAGCCUCUGCGUCACUCAUAUAACAAAAUGACCCCAAGAGCACAAUGAAGACCCAUCACUGAGAUAAAGAAACAACCCAGAGUGACAGAGAAAGAUUUGAAGGCAUCAUUGGAACUGGCUAACAUCUUUGUUCAUGAGUCUACAGUAUGCAAAACAUUCAACAAGCAGGGCGUCUAUGGCAGGACACCACGAAGGAAGCCGCGUCUUGCUAAAAAGAACAUUGCUGCACACCUGAAGUUUGUAAAAGAGCAUUGACACUCCAGAGUGCUAUUGGCAAAAUGUUUUGUGGACUGAUGAGACUAAGAUUGAACUACUUAGAUAAACAUGCAGCACUACACCUGGCAUAAAAUAGGCACAGCAUAUCAUCAGGAAAACAUCAUCCCAACCGUAAAGUAUGGGGGAGGAAACAUUAUGAUUUGGAUCUGCUUUAUUGCAUCAGGGUCUGGCCAGCUUGUAGUCAUUGAGAGGAAGUUGAAUUCCCAAGUGUAUAAAAAAAAUUGCAGGAUAAUGUGAGAAUGUCCUAAAACACCGGAGCAAGCCCACAACAGAAUGGAUUCAGAACAACAAAAUUCACCUUUUGGAGUGGCCAGAGCUCAGACUAUAACCCAAUAGAGAUGCUAUGGAAUGACUAGAAGAGAGGCAUACACGAGACGUCCAAAGAAUAAGACCGAGCUUAAGCAGUUCUGCCAGGAUGAAUGGGCUAAAAUUCCUCCUGAACGACGUGCAAGUCUAGUCCACAGCUACAGGAAGCGCCUGGUUGAGGUUAUAACUGCCAAGGGGGGUCAACUAGUUAUUAAUUCCAAGGGUUCACUUACUUUUUCCACUACCAUUUUGGAUGUUGAAUGAGGGUGUUCAAUAAACACAUGAAAGAUCAGGGUUUUUUGUGUGUUAUUAUUUAAGCAUAUUACAUUUGUUAGUAGGCCUAUGGCGCUGGUGGCUCAGUGGUAGGUUUCUCACCUACCAUGCAGAAGGCCCGGGUUCGAGUCCUAGCUAGUGCCCCCCACCCCAGCCACUGGAUGCAGUGCCGGUCCCAAGCCCGGAUAAAAUGGGAGGGUUGCGUCAGGAAGGGCAUCCGGCGUAAAACCUGUGCCAAGUUGUUGUGUGGACCAGUUGGUCUGCUGUGGCGACCCCUCGUGCAUGUAGGGAGCAGCCGAAACAUCAACAACAUUUGUCAGUAGGCCUACUCUUGACUGAGUUGAAGAUCAAAUUUAUGCAGAAAACCAUGACAUUUCAAAAGGUUCACAUACUUUUUCUUGCCACUAUAUACACACACAUACCGAACAACCAUAACAUUAUGACCACUGACAGGUAACGUGAAUAACACUGAUUAUCAUGGUGGGUGUAUGUGAUAUAAUAAGCAGCAAGUGAACAUUUUGUCCUGAACAUUUUGUUUGUUACAAGCAGGAAAAACAGGCAAGCACAAGGAUUUGUGCGAGUUUGACAAGGGGCAAAUUGUGAUGGCUAGACGACUGGAUCAGUGCAUCUCCAAAACUGCAGCUCUUGCAGGGUUCCUGGUAUGCGGUGGUCAGUGUCUAUCAAAAGUUUUUGCAAAUCAUCCACUCCUCCAAUCCCACCACCUGUCCACUGGAUCCAAUCCCUUCCACUAUGCUCCAGACCAUCUCACCUGACCUCCUGGAAUUAAUAACUAGUUGGUAUCUGAGGGAGGGAAGGAGAAGAUAAGUUGGGUGUCAUCAGCAUAGCAGUGGUAUGAAAAGCCGUGUGAGGAUAUCACUUUGCCACUGAACUAGUCUCUUUUAUUUACAGUCAACAAUCUUCAACCAGUUUAAAACUUUCGAAGGUAGUUGGUAAAUUCAUUUAACAUAGAAGAAAGUAGGAAAUAGCAUCUAAAUCGGUCAAACAAGCGAAAAAAGGCACUGCCACUAAAGACGGCGACCCAGCCGCUCACGGUGGGGUUAGCAUGUCGGCCUUGACAAGUUUAUUGGAAGAGCACAGAGCCGCUAUCUCCACUGAACUUAAAACCACUUUAACAUCUUUAGAGACAUAACAUCUCUGGAUUCUAAUGCAGACCUCAUCAGCGAGGAAUUCAAUCAUUGGAAGCGGUAUGUGCCGAGCUAACAGAGAAGUAUGCUAAGCUCAAGGCCCUCGCCCCACUGUGUUCUUUUCGGAGAUGCUGUCAGAAAUUAUGGGCGAACAGGUUCUGCUGUCUCCCGUGGAACUCGAGCACCGAGUUCUUGUUGCUAAGCGAAACAAUGAGGGAAGCCGAUAGCACUUGUAGUUCAUUUUCAUCUGUACCAGAUUAAGGAGGCGGUGAUGCGAGACGCCCAUAGGAGAAGAGGAUCACUGCAGUAUCGGGGCAAGCCGAUUGCUAUUUAUGAUAACUACAGUCCAGAGGUCCUGGAGCAGCGCGCUUAAUAUCGUGCAGAGCUUUACAUUUUGGGAUUUAAUCCAUCUCUUCUUUCCCCCGCAAGAUUGAGGAUUACAACCAAGGAAGGUGAACAGAAAAUGCUUGCAUCAGUGGAUGAGGCUAAGACUUUCUUAACAGCUCAUCGUAAAGACACUUAGAAGGUAAUGGUGGCCGCUUAGUAGUUGUGACCGGUGGAUAUCUAUAAGACCUAUACUAUUUUCCCUUUCCCCCCCCUUUUUUCAUAUUGUUUAUAUUACGAGAUGACCCGUUGCAUAUUAUUGGUGUAACACAGGACUUUUCUUGGCCCUUUAAAGUGUCAAAGUCUAUUUACUUUUCACUUGUAUAGUUUUGAGUCAAGCAGACAUUUCUACACUCUUACUGACUAAGUGCUGUUGCAUUUGAUCUGAUCUCUCCUGUUGAGCAAAAUAUGUUAUACGUUCUUUAUCGUAUGUAUUUUUGCUUUUUCUUCGAUGUUAUAAUAUUGUUUUUGAUUACAGUUUUUGUUAAUCUCAGGAAAGGUUCUUGUUUCUCUUUGCACUCAUCUAUUAUGGUUUUCCUUAAGAUUCUUUUAUCGCUAAAAUGCUUACAGGGAAUUAUGGAUUGUUAUAUCAUAGAUCUGCUCAUAUGUCAAACCUACUACUGGGCGUUUCAUAUUUCAGACUGAGGAUAUUUUACCUUAGGGGGCUGAGCAUAU